UACCGUGGAUAACCUACCGAAGGUGCU
rnacentral:piRNA from 1 species